rnacentral:lncRNA from 1 species
UGUUCACUUGUUCUGUUAUCAAAACACAAAGAACAGACUUUUUUCCAAAAGGGAAAAUGUAACAAUGCACUAUCACAAAAUUGGAAAGUAUAUAAUUUUUUUCAAAUAUUCACCUAAUUUUAAACAUUUUCACUAAUUUAACUUAUUCCUGAUAAAGAUGAAGGCAGCUUAAAUUGCUCUGAUGGUAUAUAAAGGAGAAUGGCAUUCUAAUAAAAAGUGUAUCUAAGCAAAUAACUACC